rnacentral:lncRNA from 1 species
AAGAAACUAUCUGCAAAGGAAGAUUCUCAUGCACAGAUUGAAACCCUCUGAGAUAUCAACCCCCUAGGAGCAUGGAGGUGAUGUGCUGUGACACGAGUGGUGGAAUGCUUCACUGGAGAAGGGGAUGUGUCCUGUGCUGUCCCUGUGCUCGCCACCCACACUCCCCUCCCAGAGGAGGCACGGUGCCCAGCCUGCAAACUCACCCCAGUCACCCAGCCAGCGGAGAAUGUCAUACAGGUGCUUCUCCUUCAUCAUAGCAUCUUUGGAGAAGGAGGCAAUUUUUUCCAGCAAGAUGAAUCUCUUCUUGCCCUUUGGAUCUCUCUGCUGAGAUUUGGCAUUUUCUUUUAAAU